GUUUGUUUUUAGGUCAUUAAUAAGGAAUUACAGCGUAAUCGGUAUUUUUUACUAUCGAUUCAAAUGUAUUAUAUAUAGAUCAUACGAUGUUUUUAAACACAAUUGAACAUAUUGAAAAUGGAGGAAAAUAAUUCGUCUAAGCCCGCUGACAUGGAUUUUUCAUACGGAACAGCGUUUGAUUCAUUGGAUAUUUUUAAGGAAGAAGAUACUUUGAACAUUAUAAAGGACAUGGUGCCUAUUGAAAUGCAGAAUUUUUUCGAGGACAUUGAUCAAAUGGAAUUCUCUGAUGAAGCUCUGUCAAAUCAUUUGUUACACGAUUGUAACGUGGAAGCAUUAAAUUUCAUUGGACCUGAUUUAUUAUUGCCACCCAGAGUAUCUAGUCCUGAUUUAGUUAAAAAUGGAGGAAAAAAUUGUACGAACAAUUACAGUUCUUCAGAUCCCUUGAUGGCUGGCCAUUUAAAUCCUGUUGUUACUUUACCUUCAGUUCCCGCAGUUGAGAUCAAUUCGUCGUCAAAUAUCUUGCCUUUUGACCAAAAAUGGACAAUGGGAAAUGAACAAAAUCCAAUGAGAAGUAAUAAAGUUGUUGAUAAAUCGAGAGAGUUUUGCAAUGUUAAUCCUGUACAGGAAGAUAAACCCGAUUUUUCAAAAAAUGACUGUUACAAAUCCAAUGUAUUGGAAAAUGUUCAGAACCAUAUACAAUCUGUUGACUUCAGCAAUGAUUUGUUAAAAAAAGGCAUUUAUGACAAUGAAAAGAUAAGCCAAGCGAAUAUACCUAUGCAGGAUUUGAAGGAAAUACAAAUAGCUCAACAUGUUUUGAUACAAAGAAGUCCAACGAUUAUGUAUACCUCUCCACCUACCCCUUCCGCGUCCUUUGCUACUGGUCCUCCAAUUAUAUCACAAAUACCUGUUAUAUUUGAACCAACUGUAAACGCUUCGUGCAAUUUAGCCAAAGUGGGAAACACUUUAUCAGUUGAGAAUAAAGUGCCAAUUACUCGAAUCCAACCAAAAAAAAAAGAAGUCAAAAGGUCUGCUCAUAAUGCUAUAGAGCGCCGUUAUCGUACUUCAAUAAAUGACAAAAUUUCAGAAUUAAAAAAUCUUAUAAUAGGAGAAUCUGCAAAACUCAACAAAUCUGCAGUUUUGCGCAAGUCAAUUGAUAAAAUACGUGAUCUUCAAAAGCAAAAUUCUGAGAUGCGUGACGAGAUACUGAGACUUCAAAACGAGCUUGUAAAUCGAAGCAGUUGCAAUGUUAAAAAUCUACUCCACUCAACCAAAAUAAAUAAAGUUGAUAAUAGAAAUAAGGCAUUAAUAACAAAUGAGUUCUCACAAAAACAAAGGAUUAUUACGCCUCCAUGUAGUGACGAGUCAAAUGCCUCACAAUCUCCAACACACUCUGAUAUUUCUUUACCGUGUUCCCCAGUCAACGGGUCUGUUAAACGCUUUAAUUCAUAUAAAAUGAAAAAUGUUUCAACUGCUAUUCGUGAUAUGUCUCAAUCACGAUUAACGUUAUGCAUAUUUAUGUUGGCUUUUAUCACAAUAAAUCCAUUUAAGAUAUUUUUAUUCCGACCUACUGAGACUAUUGGCACUCUCGGAAAUUAUAAAAGUAUUGAUGAUACUCAUCAGCGCCGUAUUCUAAAUUUCAACGAUGAUAAUUCAAAUAAUGAUUUUAUUUGGAAAACCUUUUGGAGCCCUUUAUUCCUCUGGAUUAUUAACUUGAUGGUCAUGUUGGUCUGCUUCGUAAAAUUGAUUAGUUAUGUGGAUCCAUUAGGAAAUACGACUUCUGUGGAAUUCAAAAUGCGAAAGGAAUGUGGAGAUAAACUUUUUAAAAAGGGCUAUAUGGACGAUGCUUAUUUGGAGUACAUGUCUUGCUUUAAAAGUCUUGGAGUAACGUUGCCGACGACCACUUUUGACUUUAUUAUCUUGACAACCUGGCAAUUUAUCCGCAUAUUUAUUUGUUAUCUAAAGAUUAACUACAAAUAUAAAAAAUAUGUUUCAAUAUUACGCAAAAAUGAACACAGUCAUUCAAAUAGUACAACGGCGAAGAACUUGGCCAUUUUCUUCAACAGGCUAAAUCAGUUGCAUUUAACAACUGAAAGCAAUCCCCAACAUGGUCUGACGUUAUCAUUAUAUGCAUUAGAUAUGGCCCAGUUAUCUCACGAUACCCUCACAAAUGAAGAGUUGGUUGAUAUAUACUUAAUAACGGCUUUACUGGUAAAACAAAACUAUCCCAGAUCAUUGAAGUUAUUUGUACGAUAUUGUAUUAAAAAGGGGAAACAAGAAUGGUUUAAGUCUGCGCGAAAAUCGAGUCAAUAUAAGUGGAUAUUUACUCCAUUCGGAACGCAAUUUGUAAUUGAUCAUGAAUUUGAUUUAAACAACAACUUGCAAUCAAAUAAUAUGUUUAUACAAUUGUCGAACAGUGCGAAUCCUCUAACGUAUUUAUUAAAGCAUUAUCAAGAAUAUUUGAUUCAUCAAGCUAUUCGAUGUCUGGUUGGAUCCAUCCAAAUUUCUAAUAAAAAUAGAACAAAUCUUAAGGCAUAUGAUAUAGGAGAUAAUACUGUGGCUAGUAAUGCAUUGACUUUUGUUUCUUUACUGCGGGAUUCCUUUUCCUCUGACUACAGUAAUGAAAAUAUUGAGUGGUGGGUUAACAUCCUUGAAGUUUCUGUUUAUUGGCUAUUGGGCGAAGAUACAAAAGCCGAAACAUCAUAUCAACGUGCGAAAGUUUUACCGAAGGAACUAGAGACAAGUAAUGACAAACUACCACAGGCUUUACACUUAGCAUUGGAAGCAAAAUUUUUAUCACUGCAGUAUAGUGGAGGCUUUUACAAACGUGAUUCACAGUGUAUUAUAGAUGUCUGCAAUCGAUCGAGUAACUGUCUUCAAGAAUCUUUAACAUUUAAUAAAAUUACAACUGUGAAAAAAAUUAAAUUGUUGUUUCAAUUACUAACUUGUGAUUGGGUCCUCGAAACAAGAACACAGCUAUGGGAGACGGAAUACGUGAACGCUGAUCAAAUUCUGUGCAAACAAGUUCCAAGCGAUUAUUUGGAAAAAUUUCAAAAGGAUCUUAACUCGAUGCGUUAUGUCAUAGAAGAUUUGAAUGUAAGUAAUAUGACAAAAUCUGAUGUAACAUCAACCAAUCAAAAGGAAAUUACUGGGAGAUACAGCGAUCUUAAGAUAGGAGUCACGAAGGAUCGCACUUAGACAGCUUCAAACGUCGAAAAAGCGCUUAGAGCAUGUCACAAUAUUUUUGAGGCGGCUAAUAUCUACAACCUACCGCAUAUUUCUUGUAUACAAUAUCUCCUUCCAGACAUGGAACUCGGAAUUUUCUCCAUAACGUACGGGUCCAUUAGCUUCUCCAUCGUUUUCAAAAAAAGGAGACAGAGGCUUAUAGGCUCGAAGGUCUUAGCAAUAACAUGAGAGCUUUCAGGAUCAACGUACUCAUAACCUGUUUCUAAGCCUCAGUAAUAUCCCACAAUCUGACAAAACUCACGUAAAUGGGGUCCAAACUGCAGCAUGCCUUAUUUACUAUGCCCUGACAAACUUAUCAAUCGUUCAAGUUAAAACUAGUAUGUCUAUGAUCGGAGAAAAAGCGGUCACUAAGAACCCGCCCACCACUCUAUAAUCAAGGUUGCAGGGGUAAAGAACCGCCUCCCUACUACAUAUAAAUAAAUCUUCGCUACAAAUCAAAUUAAGAAUUGAUCUUAAAAGUAUGUCUCCAGAAUAGCAAUCAAAUUAAAUGAUGGUUCUCCUUUUUUUAUAGUAGUUGUUGUCCGCCAGGCUGGCUGAAACCAACCAAAGUUCUCCGACGCUGUACUCUAGCCUUUCAAUGAUAAAAUACUUCUUACUAAAAUUAGCUCCUUUAUUACCUCUUGUCCUUAGCCCACGGAUACUGUGACUACUCACCCACGGCUCUUAGACUUCAGACGAAUCAAGCCAUUGUCGGAUUACGCUUUUUCGUGCUGGGUAUUAAUUUGAAGGAUAUUCUGAUUCAGACUCCUUUCUAGAAGUGCGGAUUCCGUAACAGCCUCAUAUCCGACACCAUCCACCUCAAAUAACCGCUCAUGACCGAGACGGAUCGGUCGACGAUCCGCCCGCAGUGCUCUCGGCCUCUGAAAAUACAACGACCACGGGAGAGCGCGAAACAAUGUGAAAUUCGGCAAAAACGGUUAUUGCAUUUAUACGGAAAUCGUACAACGCUAGAUCAGGAUCACUCAAGCAGACGUCUUUUUUACAACCGUUAUUCUGCUCAAGUUCAUAUCGCUUGUUUUUGGAAUUAGCGUCACUUGUAAGACUACUUCUUCCACUUGCAAGCGUGUAUAGUGCAGCUUAUAAAAAAAAGAAAUAAGGGUAACCCAAUUAGCUGUGGCUUCAACCUUAUGUGUUGUAGCAGUCUUGUGUAAUUGAUGUUCAGUGUAUCCAAGGAUUCCCAGAGAGGAUGGAAUUUACUUUAUGACUUAUGGCCUUUGACUAACAUUGGAACAGUUUGUUCGCUUAAUGUUAAAAUUUGGUAUUGAUUACAUACUUUAAUAAUAUUAAUAUAUUAGAAUAUCUUGAUAAUCCAUACUAUUUUAUGUUUAACAUGAAUAUUUAUUUUUCAUCUAAUUGGAUCCUUUUAUUUUUUUGUUAACUGGUUUUAAUAUCAUGUUUUGAUAAUAUGCUUUUUCAAGGUUUGGAAUCUUUACUAUGUAAAUAAGUGAAGGUCUAGUAUAUAGAUUAGGUAUGAUAUAUCUAUUAAAAAAAAAAACAGUUCUUCAGUCGAUUACUGAGGCAAAUUACUGAUGCGGGAUAUUUUAUUAACAUGCUCUGAUGCAUUUUUACUCAAAAGCAGUACAUUUCAAUUCAAGUUUAAUAGACACACAAUCACAGAAUGGAAAUAAUCAUAAUAAUACCGUUUAACAACCGUUAAGCGAAUUUAAACCAAACAGGUAAACGUAGUAGUUUUGUGCCCACAUUACCCGAUCGAUAAAAUAUAUAAGAUAAUAGAAAUCUGUUGAUUCACCUCUAUAUUUAUUAUUAAUUCAAUUUGAUACAAAUUAUCUAUGGGGUUCAUAUCUACUGAUUGUGGCGGUAUUUUAAAUUGAUUGUGGACAUGAUAAAGCAGCAGCUUCUGAACUAUAUGCGCAGUAUGCUACCGAAACACAAGUAGAAGUUCGAAUUUUCUGUUCGCAAAAUGUCCAUAUAACGUUUCUUAUUCAUAUUUCUUUAAAUUAAUUCUAUAAUUUAAAAUAUAAUAGUAUAUUUACUGAAAUGAAAAAAUGGCUUCUUAUAUAUCGUAUUUGGAUUAGCGAAUUAUUUGUGCUGAUGUCAUGCAAAAUAUUUGUGCCUUUUGAUAAAAAGUACUUCUGAUAUCGCAAAUUUACCCCUACUUUUUACAAGAGCUUAAUUGAUUUGUUAAUUUUCGUACAAGCUAUAUGGACACCGAAGACAAUAAAGUCCAAAAAAAGCAAUACUCAGCUUAAAGCUAUGUCCUCUAUAUUUUAAGUUACACAUGGAUAAAUUUUCAUCCACUAACUUCAAAGAGGAAUAAUCACCAUGGUUAUUGGAAUGGUUGAAGAACGAUUUGAUUCAGAAACUGUUAUAAAUAUUGUACUACAAAUUAUUUUUUGUGAAAUAAAUAUAUGAUGUUUUUUGCUUUU